rnacentral:rRNA from 1 species
GAUGAACGCUGGCGGCGUGCCUAAUACAUGCAAGUCGAGCGAACAGACGAGGAGCUUGCUCCUCUGACGUUAGCGGCGGACGGGUGAGUAACACGUGGAUAACCUACCUAUCAGACUGGGAUCACUUCGGGAAACCGGAGCUAAUACCGGAUAAUAUAUUGAACCGCAUGGUUCAAUAGUGAAAGACGGUUUUGCUGUCACUUAUAGAUGGAUCCGCGCCGCAUUAGCUAGUUGGUAAGGUAACGGCUUAUCAAGGCAACGAUGCGUAGCCGACCGGAGAGGGUGAUCGGCCACACGGGAGCUGAGACACGGACAAGACUCCUACGGGAGGCAGCAGUAGGGAAUCUUCCGCAAUGGGCGAAAGCCUGACGGAGCAACGCCGCGUGAGUGAUGAAGGUCUUCGGAUCGUAAAACUCUGUUAUUAGGGAAGAACAAAUGUGUAAGUAACUAUGCACGUCUUGACGGUACCUAAUCAGAAAGCCACGGCUAACUACGUG